rnacentral:rRNA from 1 species
GAUCAUGGCUCGGGAUGAACGCUGGCGGCGUGCUUAACACAUGCAAGUCGAACGAAGCACUCUAUUUGAUUUUCUUUCGGAAAUGAAGAUUUUGUGACUGAGUGGCGGACGGGUGAGUAACGCGUGGGUAACCUGCCUCAUACAGGGGGAUAACAGUUGGAAACGACUGCUAAUACCGCAUAAGCGCACAGGAUCGCAUGAUCUGGUGCGAAAAACUCCGGUGGUAUGAGAUGGACCCG